CCUACGGGGGGCAGCAGUGGGGAAUCUUGCGCAAUGGGCGAAAGCCUGACGCAGCAACGCCGCGUGCGGGAAGAAGGCCCUCGGGUUGUAAACCGCUUUCAGCAGGAACGAAAAUGACGGUACUUGCAGAAGAAGGUGCGGCCAACUACGUGCCAGCAGCCGCGGUGACACGUAGGCACCAAGCGUUGUCCGGAUUUAUUGGGCGUAAAGAGCUCGUAGGCGGUUCGGUAAGUCGGGUGUGAAAACUUUGGGCUUAACCCAAAGCCUGCAUCCGAUACUGCUGUGACUAGAGUUCGGUAGGGGAGCGGGGAAUUCCUAGUGUAGCGGUGAAAUGCGCAGAUAUUAGGAGGAACACCGGUGGCGAAGGCGCCGCUCUGGGCCGAUACUGACGCUGAGGAGCGAAAGCGUGGGUAGCAAACAGGAUUAGAUACCCCAGUAGUC
rnacentral:rRNA from 1 species